UUGCUCAGAACGAACGCUAUCGGUAUGCUUAACACAUGCAAGUCGGACGGACUAAUUAGGGCUUGCUCCAAUUAGUUAGUGGCAGACGGGUGAGUAACACGUGGGAAUCUGCCCAUCAGUACGGAAUAACUUUUAGAAAUAAAAGCUAAUACCGUAUAUUCUCUACAGAGGAAAGAUUUAUCGCUGAUGGAUGAGCCCGCGUCAGAUUAGGUAGUUGGUGAGGUAACGGCUCACCAAGCCGACGAUCUGUAGCUGGUCUGAGAGGAUGAUCAGCCACACUGGGACUGAGACACGGCCCAGACUCCUACGGGAGGCAGCA
rnacentral:rRNA from 1 species